CGGCUGGCUUGACCGCAGUGAAAUAUUUGUGUUGGCCCUCCUGGAAGUGUCAUGACGUAGAUGUGAUUGCAGCAUCGGUUUUGUGCAGUACAACAUGACAACAAUCCAAUCCAAUUGGGAACAAAGAAGAGAAAUAAAAGGACAUUCAAAAGGGUAUAGGCUGCUGAUCUUUGAGUAAUUUCAUUGAUGGCAGAGGAAGACCUUAUAAGGCAUGCCAGAGCAUCGGAGUGGGAGAGAGAGUGACAGCAGAGAGUGUUGUCCACAUGUGUGUGUCAUAUUGUAGCAAGAAACGCCAAGACUCUUCUGUUUAUGUUUGGCCACUAAGAGCCCUUUUAUGUUCAAGUGUUGUGUGACUCUGAACAUGUAAAUAAAAAUA